UAGGGGUACGGGGUGACUAGGGCGCGGCGAGGCCGUAAGGCGGGAGCUAGUCGUGGCGGCGGGCUAGGUUAGGGGUUGAGUACCGCGAGUCGGAGUACGGGGGAAGUUCGUAACGGGAGGAGCGAGGUGCCCCAGCGCAGUCUCAGCCCAGUCGCCGCGACGGCGGCGGCCGCAGGUCCAAGGCGCGGCGCAGGAGAAGUUCUUCCGCGUCACCACCCUCCUCCUCCCCCGACCGGCAGCACCGCCGGAGCCUCCCUCCGGUCCUCCUCCUCCUUCUCCCAGGGCGUCGCCGCCGCCCCUCCUACUUGGAGUUGCUCAUGUACCAGCGGCAGCUGGCGGGCGAGCCGGAGGCGAAGCGCGAGCGGCAGCUGCCGGCGUAGAAGCACGUAAGAGAGUUCUCUCCCCCUUUACGCCUCUUCAGCGCUUAGUAUUACCAGCCCCUGUGAGAGUUCUUCCGUCCGUGACAGGUGUUACUCCCAGAACAGUCGUAUUUUCUGGAUCCACUGUGCCUCUACCAAGAUUUUGUUCUCAGUCCUGGUACGUUAGAACAGGAACUUUCCGGUCAACGCGGAAUAGGUUAUGUGGUCAACGUAUUUUUACUUCUAAUAGUAUAGGAUAAAUUGUCUCCCUCCCAAAGAGAAGGCUGGACCUUAUCACGAUAGAACAGGAGUUUCGACUUAUUUAGUAGAGGUCCUUUACCCUUUAGACCAAAACGAUAUAAAAGGGGUUCCGAUGAUUCAAGGGUUCCUACCCGCGAAAAUAGAUCACUCUUUCUACCUGAGUUAUCCUCCUCAUGCUUGGAACGUUUAACCUACUCACUCUAACAACCGAAAAUGAGACUACUCCUACUGUACCUACGACUUACCCGUGUACCAUCAAAAGGAAACCUCCUCAUGUAAUUUCGGGAUCUGGCACGAUUUCCACUUGACAUGAUAUUAGUAAGUGAACCAUACGUUAUGUCGUUCUAAUGACUCGUUUAUAUACAACCUAGUACGUAUGUUUGUGUCUUCCUACACUUCUACAAUAGUCUCUGCCCAUAAUGACGACAGGACUUAAAGGUUUCACUUUCACUCGCGUAAUUAACCCCUUAUUUAAGGCUCCGUUAGUUGUUAAGAACAGCAGUCUUGUUGUAGAACUACUAAUUGAUGGGAUAAGCUCUCCAACUAAGGUACCUGAACUCUUUCUUCGAAGGAAAAACACAACCAGAAGAAAACGCCGACUAUGCCUUCUUGAUGGCAUAUAUACACUGAACAUGGUGACCUAUACUAUCUAGUGGUCGUACACACUAACGCAUAGAUGUAACCCAAGUUCUAUGUGGAGAAGUAUAACGAGUGUUCAAGUAGUGACCCAACGUAAGUACAUCUGGACUGUCUCGACGUUAACAAACCCGUUGAACCCUAGAGUAACGUAAUCAACUUUGACCUUCUGUACUACCGUGAGGAUGUGUAAGUCACACGAAACAAACCUUGUUACCAGCCCUCCCACUACUACACCUUAACCACCCCCUAAAAUGUUCAUUGACCUUUCUGUUUAAUUUCACGUUGGUGUUCCCACCUAGGUCUAUACUUCGACUCCAAGCUGAAGCUGUACCCUUCAUGAUGAUGUUCAAGUAUCAACCCCCAUUGACCUCCGUGAGCUCAAGCAACGGCAGUCUCUGUCUACUUGUACCCUUGCAGUUGUUACACUAGUCUCAGCCACUGUAGCGGGCCUAAGCAGGACGAGGGUCGGUUAACGUCUAUUUCCUAGGUAGACAACAAUUCCACUAUCUCUCCUGUGACUGGCUCCUACUCGCCAAAAGCGACCGGAAACGCCGUGCGGAGUACCGUAAACGUUAGACGGGUUAGUCUAACCGAGGCUUCGUCAUCCGUACGGUCAUCAAGGGUUGGGUUGGGUUGGGGCCGGCCUCCUAGCCGCUAAGACAUCAAAUGUAUUUGGAGUACUUGUCUCUCGUUAGAUAGACAUGGCAUACGAGCAACUUUAGUUACCAACCCGUGUUAUAUAUAUAUAUGUAUAUAGAACAUCAAGAUACUCGACAUGGACUUUACUUGAAAAUGAGACCCA
rnacentral:rRNA from 1 species